rnacentral:lncRNA from 13 species
CAACUAUGUUCGUCUUUUUCAAAAUUAUUUUGGCUGGUCUGGGUUCCUUGCAUAACCAUAUAAACACGAGGAUCACCUCAUCAAUUUCUGCAAAGAAGCCAACGUGUUUUGAGAGGUUGAACGAGACAUCCACGUUGGCAGUCUCGGGGACUCCUGCAGGUCAGUAGUCCCCCGGCAGACAUGCCGGACCCCAACAAUUCACAGAUUCUGAGAUUAAGUCAGGAACAUCUCUGGGAUUUGGGGAGCAUCGUUCUGGCUAUGCAUCGACCUUGCAUUCUGAAAUACUGAUGAACACAUUUAUUAGUGCUAAUAUUUUUUGUGUGUUCUUAGAAAUUUUUGUACAAGAUCAUGUAACCUAUAUAAUUUUACUUCUUUCUUUUCAGUCUGGUUAGAUUGUAUUUCUUCUUCUUGCCUAAUAGCUUUGACGGGAACAUUCGUUACAAUAUUCAAAAGAGGUGAUGAGAGAAGACAUCCAUCCUUGUCUUAUUCCUGAUCACAGGAGAAAAGCAUUCUGACUCACCUUGAAGUAUGAUGUGAGGUGUGGUUUUUAUAUAGAUGGCCUUUAUUUGCUUGUGAAAGUUCCCUUCUUUUCCUAGUUUUUGAAUGUUUUCAUCCAGAAAAUUUGUUGAAUUUUGUGAAAUAAUUUUUCUAUGUCUAUUGAGAUGAUCACGUGGGAUUUGUUCUUUAUUCAGUAUUGAUCGAUAGUUUUCUGUGAUAUUUUUGUCUAGUUUCAGUUUUUGGAUAAUAUUGGCCUCAUAAAAUGAGUUGAAAAGACGUCUCUCCUCUUUUAUUUCUUGGAAGACUUUGUGAAUGAUUGGUGUCAAUUUUUUUUUAAAUGUUACGUAAAAUUCUUCAGUAAUGCCCUGUGGACCUCGAUUUUUCUUUGCAAAAAGUUUUUAAAUUACUAAUUCAGUCAGUUUACAUGUUAUAUGUGUGUUUGAUUUUUUAUUCUUUUUUGAGUUAGUGUUGCUCAUUUUUGUAUUUCUAGAAAUUUUUUCAUUUACAUCUGGAUUAUCUAAUUUGUUGACAACAAU